rnacentral:lncRNA from 1 species
AUUUAUAGCUCGUAUUUAAAGAGCCCUUGGGAGUCUCCCCGGGCUCGGCAGGGCGGCGGCGACGGCGGUGGCUGCGGAGCUGCAGUUAGCGCUGCGCGCGUGAGGUGGCGGGGCGGCAGCCGCGCAUCCCGGCCCUGUGGCGUGUUGGGCGUGGGGGAGCGUCCUUACACGUUCCAGGGUGGCUUUUCCCCCACGUCCUCGCUCGGUUUCUGGAAAGGGGGAGGAAACGCUGCAGCUUCUACAGUACUUUUGCUUAAGACAAAGCCAGGGAUCAGGAAUCUCAAAAGAGCGGGGGGCAGAAGGUUUGAGCCGACCCCACCCCGGCUCUCCAUCGGAGCCCCGAGCGGCGCCGUUUCCUGAUGCUGGCUGUGCGUAGAGGCGGCCUUCCUGGGGGGAGGGGAGAACAAUGCUUCCUGAAAAGCCAAAAGUCGUGGAAUUUGGGGGCGGGGCUCGGGCCAAUUAAAGUGUAUUCGUGGAAAAUAAAUCGCAAGAUAGUGGCAGUGAUGAUCUUGGCGUUCAAUCGAUUGAUCUGACUUCCCAGCAGCGAACUGCACACUGCAGCGCGAAAGCAG